GUGUAGACUUGUCUUCUUGUUCAGGGAGGACAGACAGCGAGGUGAGAGGGGGAGAAAGCAGAAGACGUGCGGGAAAGGGGAGGGCUUCAGUCUGCCCAGCCGAUGCUAAUCUUCACCAUAUCAGAUGUUUGAACAGCCUCGCUGGCUGCAGUGCUCAGAUCACAGGCUGCUGCAACAGCGAGUUAAAACGCCUGGUCACGUGGGAGCUCACUGAAACACAAAAGGUCAGGAAAAUGGACGAUAAAUCAGACGUAGCGGUUGAUAACCCAGUUUCUGUCCUGCUUUUAGGGGGUGCGGUGAUGCUGCUGAAAAAAGAGAUCAGGACAUCCAGCAUCAGACGCUUUGAAGGAUGCCCAAUGAAGAUGUCCUGAAAAGGCAGGCCAGUAGAUUAAGGUGAGUUCUUUUGGUACCUCCUAAUAUAUGUAUUAUAUGUACAUUGUAUUGUAUAUAUAGUGCCGUUCAGCCGUUCACUGCUAUUAAAGAAGACAGCUUUCGCACAAGUUGCGGUGCUUUAUUAACCAGCUGUUGUUGGCCACAGCUACUCAAUUGGCAGGGAAAACAAGUCAGUGGCUUGCUAAGACAAAGUUUUCUUUAAGUAUAAUUGUCAAACAUAAUUCCCCAAACAUGGCAAAAGCCAAAAUCACACCAAAAACUUGAUAAUUCAGUGGCGGCUACUGUAGAACCCCAAUAUACCUAGUUAUCUAUUAGCUAACAUCUUGACGACUUGGAGGUAUAGGCAUAUAAUUCAUGUUUUGCCAUAUAAUGAAUUGUAAAUAACUUGAUGAUUUCCAGCCUAUUGAGAACUUUCUAGCGUAUCGCCUACCUACAUGAACACCUUGAGUGAACUCACUAUCAACACUGUUGGCAAAAACUACUGUAAAAAAAAAAGGCGAAGUAAUCCGAAGCAAGGUUCCACCCUGCAUCUCCAACCAUCAGUAACAAAAACUGUUCAGUGCUGGCAUUUUUACCUUUUCAGUGAGCCCAUUUACUUCUAGAGGCUUCCUUCAAACCCUUUGGAGACACCUCUUCAUGAGAGUUCCAUCUCUCUGACUAAAUCAGUGUUUGUAUUGUAGCUGCACACAGUGUUGCCUUCCAUUUUUUGCUGCUCUCCUCUACUUCUUUCCUCUGCAGGUGAGCCGUGAACAGGCAGUAUUGGCAAGAAAAUGCCCCCUCCUUAGCUUUACUUUAGGGACCUUCACCUUGCUCCCAAAAAUGCAAAAUACACUCUAUCAAGACAGAUGUCAAGUGGCAGAACAUCCAUGCUGAUCGCCCUCGAAUUCCACAGGACUAUACAAUCAUGUUAUUGCCAGGGGAGAUCCAUCAAACCUUCAUU